CCUGAACGCUGGCGGCGUGGCUAAGACAUGCAAGUCGUACGGGCGUAGCAAUACGUCAGUGGCGAACGGGUGAGUAAUGUAUCGCUAACGUGCCCCCGAGUCAGGGAUAGCUGCCCGAAAGGGCAGGUAAUACCUGAUGAGACCACGACCGGGCAUCCGGUUGUGCUCAAAGCAGCAAUGCGCUCAGGGAGCGGGCGAUGUCGUAUCAGCUAGNGGUGAGGUAACGGCUCACCAAGGCGACGACGCGUAGCCGGACUGAGAGGUUGGCCGGCCACAUUGGGACUGAGACACUGCCCAGACUCCUACGGGGGGCUGCAGUAACGAAUCUUCCGCAAUGCACGAAAGUGUGACGGAGCGACGCCGCGUGUGGGACGAAGU
rnacentral:rRNA from 1 species